UUUUUGAGAUGCAAAAUUUCGGCUCAGAACAGUUACAAAUCACCCCAUUUGGCUUACCUGCAGGCCCUGGAGACAGUCAAGGAAGAUGACAGCAGCAAAUGUCCCAACUUAUAUGACUGAUUCAAGCCCCUGUUUCACCUCACAUCAUCAGGAAUGUUUGACUUCAUCUGGAGUUGGAACUGUUCACCCACCCACCAGUAAUACCGCACUCCUUCCAGACUCCCAAAAUUGAAAAAUGCCUUAGGAGAACGAAGAAGAUGGAGAGGAGGAAAAUGCCACAUGCAGCUUUUCAAGGAUCCUAUCGCUCUGCUUUCCACCCACUUCACGCUCAUCAUGUCAACUGACGGCCACAGCCAACACAGUUUGGACAGCUGAACGCUUGAGGAGGACAGCUCCUGGAAGUGGUGGCAGCACUGUGAUCGACGCACAGCGAGACUGAUUUGCACACUUACCUUUCCUGAACACCGAACACAAACACGCACAGUAUUUUCCUACCUCUUGACUUACUCUCCGCUUGUCGUCCAUCAGCAGAGGCUAAAAAUAAGGGCUGUCCUAAUAUGACACACUAUUUACGAUGGCCCGUUUUAAUGAACUUGUUUUAAGCCUACGGACAGACAUUUGGACCGUAAAGAUCCAGAAUGCACCUCUUCCACGUUGUGGCCAUCUCAUCCUCUGGUUCGACCCUCUUGCCGUAUGAACACGUAGUGCUUAUAUGUUAUGUAUAUACUGCCAAUAUACAAUGAAUGCACUUUUUUUUGCACAGCUUUUGUUUAUCACAGGUUGACAUUGACAGUUCAGGCACUGGCCCGAUGACUGCGUCUGUGAACUCCCGACCUGAACACGUUUUUGUGUUUGUGUGCGCGAGCACUGAGCAGCGUAGAGGCGACCCAGCGCCAAGGGGAAAACGUGGGAUUUGGUUUCUGAUACGAUCCAGAUGAGGAGACACCAAUUAGGCCUACGUCUGGGCGCGAGAUGUUUAUUUAACUUUGGCCUCGGGCCACACUGUGAAACUCACUAAAACCACUUCUAGAAGGAUGGGUCGGAGCUGCGUGUGAAGGGCCAAACUCUGUCGGGUCCCAAAAUGAGAACACCGUGGUACAGUAAUCCUUCUUCCGUAUUCUUGGUUUUGGGGAUUUCUGUGCUGUGUGCACUGUGGGUAGCACUGGUGCCUCAGUUCCCAGGCUGUGGGUUUUAAUCCAUGGUGCUUGUAUGUGCUCCCUACGUUGGUGGGGGUUUCCUCCCAGAGUCCAAAGGUAAACUGCUUCUGUUCCCUCCAUUACCAUGAUAACUGUGCAAGUUGUUGCCGAGAGUUGAGCUAAUCUAGACGGUGUUUACCCUACCCUGUUUACCAGGUCAGACC